UGGCUAAAAAUAAAAAUAUUUUUCGGCUCUGC
rnacentral:piRNA from 1 species